AAUCUGCCCUCGAGUUUGGAACAACCUUUCGAAAGAAGGGCUAAUUCCAAAUAAGACUACAGGGGCUUCGGUCCCAGUUGCCAAAGGUGGCCUCUCCAUGGAAGCUAUCGCUUGAGGAUGAGCCUGCGUCUCAUUAGCUUGUUGGUAAGGUAACGGCUUACCAAGGCAAAGAUGGGUAGCUGGUCUGAGAGGAUGAUCAGCCACACUGGAACUGAAACACGGUCCAG
rnacentral:rRNA from 1 species